AUUGAACGCUGGCGGCAGGCUUAACACAUGCAAGUCGAACGAGUGGCGGACGGGUGAGUAAUGCUUGGGAAUCUAGCUUAUGGAGGGGGAUAACUACGGGAAACUGUAGCUAAUACCGCAUACCAUCGGAUGUGCCCAGAUGGGAUUAGCUAGUAGGUGGGGUAACGGCUCACCAAGCCGACGCUCUCUAGCUGGUCUGAGAGGAUGACCAGCAACACUGGGACUGAGACACGGCCCAGACUCCUACGGGAGGCAGCAGUGGGGAAUAUUGCGCAAGGGGGGCAACCCUGACGCAGCCAUGCCGCGUGAAUGAAGAAGGCCUUCGGGUUGUAAAGUUCUUUCGGUAGCGAGGCGUUAACUACAGAAGAAGCACCGGCUAACUCCGUGCCAGCAGCCGCGGUAAUAC
rnacentral:rRNA from 1 species